rnacentral:rRNA from 1 species
UCAUUCUAGAUACACUUUCCAGUACAUCUACUAUGUUACGACUUAUCUUACCUUAAUAAUAAGAGCGACGGGCGAUGUGUACAUAUUUUAGAGCUAAAAUCAAAUUAUUAAUCUUUAUAAUUUUACAAUCAAAUCCACCUUCAAAAAUCUUUUCAUAAUUUUAUUCGUUUAAAUAAAUUUAUUGUAACCCAUUAUUACAUAAACAUAAGCUACACCUUGAUCUGAUAUAAAUUUUAAUAAAAAUUAUUGAAUAUUAAUAUUCUUAUAAAAUAUUCUGAUAACGACGGUAUAUAAACUGAUUACAAAUUUAAGUAAGGUCCAUCGUGGAUUAUCGAUUACAAAACAGGUUCCUCUGAAUAGACUAAAAUACCGCCAAAUUUUUUAAGUUUCAAGAACAUAACUACUACUACUUUAAUAUU